UGAUCCUGGCUCAGAACGAACGCUGGCGGCAGGCCUAACACAUGCAAGUCGAGCGCGCCUUCGGGUGAGCGGCGGACGGGUUAGUAACGCGUGGGAACGUGCCCUUCUCUACGGAAUAGCCUCUGGAAACGGAGAGUAAUACCGUAUACGCCCUUUGGGGGAAAGAUUUAUCGGAGAAGGAUCGGCCCGCGUUAGAUUAGGUAGUUGGUGGGGUAACGGCCUACCAAGCCUACGAUCUAUAGCUGGUUUUAGAGGAUGAUCAGCAACACUGGGACUGAGACACGGCCCAGACUCCUACGGGAGGCAGCAGUGGGGAAUCUUAGACAAUGGGGGCAACCCUGAUCUAGCCAUGCCGCGUGAGUGAUGAAGGCCUUAGGGUCGUAAAGCUCUUUCGCCUGUGAUGAUAAUGACAGUAGCAGGUAAAGAAACCCCGGCUAACUCCGUGCCAGCAGCCGCGGUAAUACGGAGGGGGUUAGCGUUGUUCGGAAUUACUGGGCGUAAAGCGCGCGUAGGCGGAUUAGAAAGUUGGGGGUGAAAUCCCGGGGCUCAACCCCGGAACUGCCUCCAAAACUGCUAGUCUAGAGUUCGAGAGAGGUGAGUGGAAUUCCGAGUGUAGAGGUGAAAUUCGUAGAUAUUCGGAGGAACACCAGUGGCGAAGGCGGCUCACUGGCUCGAUACUGACGCUGAGGUGCGAAAGUGUGGGGAGCAAACAGGAUUAGAUACCCUGGUAGU
rnacentral:rRNA from 1 species